ACGAACGCUGGCGGCGUGCUUCACACAUGCAAGUCGAACGGAAAGGCCCUGCUUUUGUGGGGUGCUCGAGUGGCGAACGGGUGAGUAACACGUGAGUAACCUGCCCUUGACUUUGGGAUAACUUCAGGAAACUGGGGCUAAUACCGGAUAGGAGCUCCUGCUGCAUGGUGGGGGUUGGAAAGUUUCGGCGGUUGGGGAUGGACUCGCGGCUUAUCAGCUUGUUGGUGGGGUAGUGGCUUACCAAGGCUUUGACGGGUAGCCGGCCUGAGAGGGUGACCGGCCACAUUGGGACUGAGAUACGGCCCAGACUCCUACGGGAGGCAGCAGUGGGGAAUGUUGCACAAUGGGCGGAAGCCUGAUGCAGCAACGCCGCGUGCGGGAUGACGGCCUUCGGGUUGUAAACCGCUUUCGCCUGUGACGAAGCGUGAGUGACGGUAAUGGGUAAAGAAGCACCGGCUAACUACGUG
rnacentral:rRNA from 1 species